AUUGAACGCUGGCGGCAGGCCUAACACAUGCAAGUCGAACGAGUGGCGGACGGGUGAGUAAUGUCUGGGAAACUGCCUGAUGGAGGGGGAUAACUACUGGAAACGGUAACUAAUACCGCUUACCACAAGAGGUGCCCAGAUGGGAUUAGCUUGUUGGUGGGGUAACGUCUCACCAAGGCGACGAUCCCUAGCUGGUCUGAGAGGAUGACCAGCCACACUGGAGCUGAGACACGGUCCAGACUCCUACGGGAGGCAGCAUUGGGGAAUAUUGCACAAUGGGCGCAAGCCUGAUGCAGCCAUGCCGCGUGUAUGAAGAAGGCCUUCGGGUUGUAAAGUACUUUCAGCGGGGAGGCGUUACCCGCAGAGGCAGCACCGGCUAACUCCGUGCCAGCCGCCGCGGUCCUAC
rnacentral:rRNA from 1 species